rnacentral:tRNA from 1 species
GGUUCCUUAACUUAAAAGGUAAAGUGUGCUUUUGAUAAGGGUAAGAUUAGCGUUCAAUUCGCUAAGGAAUCA